UCGAGCGAGACCUUCGGGUCUAGCGGCGGACGGGUGAGUAACGCGUGGGAACGUGCCCUUUUCUGCGGAAUAGCCACUGGAAACGGUGAGUAAUACCGCAUACGCCCUUCGGGGGAAAGAUUUAUCGGAGAAGGAUCGGCCCGCGUUAGAUUAGGUAGUUGGUGGGGUAAUGGCCUACCAAGCCUACGAUCUAUAGCUGGUUUGAGAGGAUGAUCAGCCACACUGGGACUGAGACACGGCCCAGACUCCUACGGGAGGCANCAGUGGGGAAUCUUAGACAAUGGGGGCAACCCUGAUCUAGCCAUGCCGCGUGAGUGAUGAAGGCCUUAGGGUCGUAAAGCUCUUUCGCUGGGGAAGAUAAUGACUGUACCCAGUAAAGAAACCCCGGCUAACUCCGUGCCAGCAGCCGCGGUAAUACGGAGGGGGUUAGCGUUGUUCGGAAUUACUGGGCGUAAAGCGCGCGUAGGCGGAUCAGAAAGUUGGGGGUGAAAUCCCGGGGCUCAACCUCGGAACUGCCUUCAAAACUCCUGGUCUUGAGUUCGAGAGAGGUGAGUGGAACUCCGAGUGUAGAGGUGAAAUUCCUAGAUAUUCGGAAGAACA
rnacentral:rRNA from 1 species